rnacentral:rRNA from 1 species
AUUGAACGCUGGCGGCAUGCCUUACACAUGCAAGUCGAACGGUAACAGGUCUUCGGAUGCUGACGAGUGGCGAACGGGUGAGUAAUACAUCGGAACGUGCCCAAGAGUGGGGGAUAACGGAGCGAAAGCUUUGCUAAUACCGCAUACGAUCUACGGAUGAAAGCAGGGGACCGCAAGGCCUUGCGCUCAUGGAGCGGCCGAUGGCGGAUUAGGUAGUUGGUGGGAUAAAAGCUUACCAAGCCGACGAUCUGUAGCUGGUCUGAGAGGACGACCAGCCACACUGGGACUGAGACACGGCCCAGACUCCUACGGGAGGCAGCAGUGGGGAAUUUUGGACAAUGGGCGCAAGCCUGAUCCAGCCAUGCCGCGUGCAGGAUGAAGGCCUUCGGGUUGUAAACUGCUUUUGUACGGAACGAAAAGCCUCUUUCGAAUAAAGAGAGGUCAUGACGGUACCGUAAGAAUAAGCACCGGCUAACUACGUGCCAGCAGCCGCCGUAACAC